rnacentral:rRNA from 1 species
AACGAACGCUGGCGGCGCGCCUAAUACAUGCAAGUCGAGCGAGAAGACGUAGCAAUACGUUUGUAAAGCGGCGAACGGGUGAGGAAUACAUGGGUAACCUACCCUCGAGUGGGGAAUAACUAGCCGAAGGUUAGCUAAUACCGCGUACGCUCCUUGGACUUCGGUUCAGGGAGGAAAGCGAUACCGUGGGUAUCGCGCUCUUGGAUGGGCUCAUGUCCUAUCAGCUUGUUGGUGAGGUAACGGCUCACCAAGGCUUCGACGGGUAGCUGGUCUGAGAGGACGAUCAGCCACACUGGCACUGCGACACGGGCCAGACUCCUACGGGAGGCAGCAGUAAGGAAUAUUGCGCAAUGGGCGAAAGCCUGACGCAGCGACGCCGCGUGGGGGAGUGAAGGU